GCCGGAGUUGCUAGUAAUCGCGAAUCAGCAUGUCGCGGUGAAUACGUUCCCGGGCCUUGUACACACCGCCCGUCACACCAUGAGAGUUGGUAACACCCGAAGUCCGUGAGGUAACCGUAAGGAGCCAGCGGCCGAAGGUGGGAUUGAUGAUUGGGGUGAAGUCGUAACAAGGUAGCCGUAGGAGAACCUGCGGCUGGAUCACCUCCUUUCUAGGGAG
rnacentral:rRNA from 1 species